rnacentral:rRNA from 1 species
CUCUAUCACUCCUACGGGAGGCAGCAGUGGGGAAUAUUGCACAAUGGGCGCAAGCCUGAUGCAGCCAUGCCGCGUGUAUGAAGAAGGCCUUCGGGUUGUAAAGUACUUUCAGCAGUGAGGAAGGCAGGUACGUUAAUAGCGUGCUUGUUUGACGUUAGCUGCAGAAGAAGCACCGGCUAACUCCGUGCCAGCAGCCGCGGUAAUACGGAGGGUGCGAGCGUUAAUCGGAAUUACUGGGCGUAAAGCGCAUGCAGGUGGUUUGUUAAGUCAGAUGUGAAAGCCCGGGGCUCAACCUCGGAAUUGCAUUUGAAACUGGCAGACUAGAGUACUGUAGAGGGGGUAGAAUUUCAGGUGUAGCGGUGAAAUGCGUAGAGAUCUGAAGGAAUACCAGUGGCGAAGGCGGCCCCCUGGACAAAGACUGACGCUCAGAUGCGAAAGCGUGGGGAGCAAACAGGAUUAGAUACCCUGGUAG